rnacentral:lncRNA from 1 species
UGGAGAUAUCGACAAUCAACACAACUUGUCAACAUGAAGAAGUUAGUCUGAAGCCCCUCUGCUAAAGCUAUAUUUCAUUAUUUUGAAACCUUUUAGUCGAAACUAUAUCUCUACCCUUCUAUCGAAACACUACUUCCCCGUUCGAAGCCUUCUUUUAAACAGAAGCACCUACUAUCUUCUAAGGAAUCUGCAAAGUAUUUCUAGAAAUGAUUGAUGUAAUUUUUAAAUUAAUAAAUGUCAACAUUGUUGACUUAUGGUAUAGGGUGACUGAACCAUUGUCAAUAUAUCAAAUGUAUAGUAGAAAGUGAGGCCUUAAUUAAUAAGAUGAGACCACGUGAUCCUGAUCCAAUGGCUACUACUUCGGCCCAAACUCUAUAAAUAGAAACUAUUGUAACAUUUGAAAGGACGCAACUUUUUAUAAUUGAAAACAUGCUCAAAUCUUUUAUCUUGUUUAUUCCAUACUUAUUUACUUGAGUUUAGAUUACUUCAACUUUGGUGAAAGUAUGAGUGAUUAUUUAUUUGUUUGCGAUUAUAUUUGAUCAUAUUGUCGGUACUUGAACUUUUGGUCUCGCGUUAUAUAGCAUGUUCCAUGUUUAUAAACAACCAUUUUUCUCGGUCCAAAUCUUUGGUCAAAAUGUGUUGGAAUUUUCUUGCGUAGACGUAAGUAGGCCUAACAUUUGUUAUCCACUUGAUUGUUACAAAAAAUAAGUUCAACAGAUAAUAUCAUUAUGGCAUAAGUUAUAGUUAUACAUGGAAUCCGAUGUUCAUUCAUAAGUACUCUUUAUGAAGUGAUAAGACAUAAAAUUUGUGAUUUACAUCCAUUAAUUUUUGCACUUUUAUGAUUAAUUAACACCUAAAUGUGUUAAGUACUCUUAUAUUGUGAUUUAGGUUGCAUUUGGAUGACCAUGACAUAAAAUAGAAGAAAAGAGCGAAAAGGACUUAAAUGGAAGAAAUUGAAAGUUCAGAGACCAAAUUGCAAAUGAUCUCUAGAUGAGACAAACAAUGGAAUGAAGAUUAAAGAUGUUGCGGGAUCAAUUGGAUGCAAUUAGAAGUUGAAGGGUUGAAAUUGCAAGAAAAACGAUUUAAAAGAAUCAAAAAUGAAAUUCGG